GACGAACGCUGGCGGCGUGCUUAACACAUGCAAGUCGAGGGGGCUGACCGGGCAACCGGGCAGUCACCGGCGAACGGGUGCGUAACACGUGAGCGACCUACCGAGAUGAGGGGGAUAGCCGGCCCAACGGCCGGGUAAUACCGCAUACGCUCUUCCUGUGGCAUCGCGGGGAGAGGAAACGGGUAACCGGCAUUUCGAGGGGCUCGCGGCCUAUCAGCUAGUUGGCGGGGUAACGGCCCACCAAGGCGACGACGGGUAGCUGGUCUGAGAGGAUGGCCAGCCACAUUGGGACUGAGAUACGGCCCAGACUCCUACGGGAGGCAGCAGUGGGGAAUCUUGCGCAAUGGCCGAAAGGCUGACGCAGCGACGCCGCGUGUGGGAGGACGCCUCGGU
rnacentral:rRNA from 1 species